UACCGCUUCGCUCGGCUCCGUUCAUCUUGGCUCUGUUCCGCUCGAGGCGACUCCCUCGUCGUGGAGGCAACCGGUGGCGGCGCUGGUUUCAAGGCAGAUUGAGGAUUUCGAGUUAGAAUUUAGGCGGAUUUAGCCAAGGAGGUUUUCACCUGAUGAGUUGCCUCAAGGACGUUCCUACGCUGAGAGGGGAUAAUUACUCUGAGUGGAGGAAGAAGGUAGACAUGGCUUUGUGCAUUGAUAAGGUGGACUGGGUUCUGGUGGAACCACAGCCAGUUGCACGAGAGCUGGGAGAAAAAGCAAUGGGAUUAUGGCAAAGAGGAGAUGUCCUACUCCAUACGUAACAGGUUAUGGAUAAAUGCCAACAAGAAAUGUUUGGCGUUUAUUAAAACACCAUUAAGACCACCAUCGUGGGCUCGAUAGCAGAGUGCCCUACUGCAAAGGAGAUGCUCAACAAGAUAAAGAGUCAGUUUACUGGCUCUUUUAAGACAUAUGUCACCCAGUUGAUCAAACAACUAGUGACAGAGAGCUACAAUGGAGGUGGGCAUGGCAUAAGGGAGCACAUCCUUAGGAUGAGCAACACGGCAGCCAAGCUUAAGCCCAUGGAUGCGGAUCUGGAGAUUAAGUCAGCUCUCCUCGUCCACCUGGUCAUGGCUUCGCUGCCUAAGGAGUUUGAGACCUUUGUAGUUAACUACAACAUGCAGCCCGAGACAUGGGAUGUUGAAAAGGUCAUCGCAUUGUGCUCACAAGAAGAGGAAAGGAUUAAGGCUUCACAUGGUGGCUCCCUUAACUAUGUGAAGGAAAAGAAAAAGGUUUUCCCACCUAAGCAGAAUUCUCCCUCAAAGCCACAGAGCAAGCUCCAAGGCAAGGCUCCCGCUUAUUAUCAGCCAAAGCCAAUAAUAGUAGACAAGGACACUUGUAUGUACCGCAAGAAAACAGGGCACUAUAAGAAGGAUUGUGCUGCCUGACUAAAGGUCUUCAUGGCAAAGAGAGGUGCAACUGUUCAUGUUGCAAACUCUUUACAUGGGUUCAGUUCGACGAGGACCAUGUGCCAAAACGAAAGGAGUAUUGAAGUCGCAAAUGGUGUCCAAGCAGAAGUUAAAGCUGUAGGUGACGUCUCCUUGCAGUUAUUCGAAGGAUUCAAGCUUUUGCUUAGAGAUGUGCUUUUUGUGGCUUCAUGUAAUAGGAACUUAAUAAGUGUGUCUCGCUUAGACAAAGACAAUUAUCAAUGUGUUUUUGGACAUGGUAAAUGUACCGUGUGGUACAAUAAUGAUUAUGUAGGCAAUGCCUUUCUUCAUGAUGAGCUUUAUUUGUUAUUAA